GAGCGACGCCGGAAGUCCCGCCUCCAAGCCGCGGUGGCAGGAAACGCCCUCCCCCGUGGUUGUUGGCCCGACGCAGCCGCGUACUCUCCGCGCAGACUUCUGGGUAAUGCAGUUCGACCCUGGGCAUCCUUGGGUGAGCACCGCUUAGGAGCAGGUGUUUUGCAGUGUUUGUUUUAGCCAAAAUAAAACCCUGGGAAAAUGUUGACUUGGAGAAGGUCUCAAGAAAUUUAAGAACAAAAGGAAAUUUUUUAAAAAGAAAAACACAUCAGAAGAAAUGAUUAGGAGUCACAUGUGAAGAUGGCACUACUACAUGAUCACCAUCAUGCUUUAGAGAAAAUAAUAAAUGAACAAAUAUAUCAAAAUAAAGAAAUAUGAGAGUCAUAUAGACAUUUUAAAUGACAUGAAAAACGCUUAGUUUUUAAAAUUUCAUUUCUUUGGUUUAGUUUUUAAAAUCAAACCUUUAAGCGUUCUUAAGUGAAAUGACAUCAGCAAGAUGACUUCACAUAUUCCCACCACCCAUGAGCACACUGAAUAAACACGAUGAAUUCCCUCUAGGAGAAAUCUAGAAGACCCGAGUCUCUCCUCUGUAUCUGUAACUCUAGAACUGCUCGACAGGCGCAGGGCGCCGAGGUGUAGAAUCUCUUAAGUAAAGCCCUUGAGAAGGACGAUCUCGGGCCUCAAGUCUCACUCAGGAGCCGUUGAGCGAGAUGGAGUCUUCCAAACGACACCGAGGCGGGCUCCCUCACUCCAUGCCCGCUGUUUUCUUGCUCUGUUCCAGGAAAGCUGUGCCUGUCACACAUUCCAGUCUACAAGGCAGAGUCUCCUUCUGCGGAGCCGGAAGCCCCGCCCUUCGGGAAAUGCUCCUUUCCGGUGUCUCCCUGGGCUGUGCGCUGGCGGAAGCACAGGGGAACGGGCUUGGGCGCCCACACGCUGCGUCUGUUGCGUUCUCCAUGGCAACGGCCAAGCGGCACUGCUGGGAGAGACCUGAAGAGGAAAUUACGUUCCAGAGCUCCGAUAGAGGUCGAGUUUUGCUUCCUAAAAGAACUGUAAAAUUUCCGUGGCUAUCGAGGGGCACAGAAGACCCCUUCCCUGGCCUUCCUGCCUGUUUUGCCCUGGGCAAGCUGCUUCGCAAUUCCGAGAAGUGAGGACCGAGAGUUAUCGUGAAAACAGAAAGAGCUUUACCUUGGGAAUAGCACUGGUACACAUUACUUUAAUUUGGUGUUUACAAAGUUGUGGUUCCAGAAGGUGGCGAGGGCCUUUAGUACCAGUUACUUGGGAUGCUGAGAUGGGAGAAUCGCUAGAGCCCAAGAGUUGGAGGACAGCCUGGACAAUUUAGCGAGGCUCCUAUCUCAAAAUAUAUGAAUCAAAAAAAGAAAGAAACUGUAGUACGCAAGACUUGGGAAGUGGACAAAAAUACAGGCUUUCUGAACCCACUACUAACUCAAAAACUCUGGGUAUGGGGCCGUGAGUUCCAGCUCCUACUCCAUCCUCUUCACUAGUCCACUGCAAGCAGUUGUCCUGUCUUUGGUCGGGAAAAGCUGAACAAGUAAACCCAGUCUUAUCAGUCGUUUACUUAAAUUCACCAUUUUUUUCUGUCAUAGCCAGAAUGAAGUCAAACUGUUUGCCAGUGCCUCCAUGAUUUUCUCCUGCAUUCUCUGCCUCCUUCAUUUUCCAACCAGAUCCCUUUGUUUCUCUGAAAUUUCCUCCCAGAGGAAUUUUACCAGAGACUCUUCUAGUAUCUUCGGUUUUCAGCUUCUUUUUAUGUCCUCUGUUCUCAAAUGUAGCAACUGGAUGCUUUUGUGAAACAUGGUCUUCCUGCUCACUUCAACCCACAAAAUACAAUUAAUCUUCACUACUCUAGUGCUGAUUAGUUUCCUCCACCCUGAAGUCCAGGACUGACCUGAAAUUCUGUCUUCCUAGAAGGCCAGUUCCUUGGAAUUUUCCUUCUUUCAAUGAUAUUAUCAAUAAGUCCACAGCCUUUCUUUAAUAUGCCAAAACUGGUUUCCACAGCCUUUCCUUAAUUUGCCAAAGGUGGUUACCUAAAGAACCUUAAGGAUUAUUAGCUUUCCUCAUUAGGCCACCAUCAUGGGAAUUUGCUGAACUGGACUGUGAUGUUUUAGGCCAACAAUCAGUGAUAAUUGAAAGGAGAAUAAUAAUGAUAACAGGAAUGCAUUUGAUAGUAAGUACAAAAGUCUCCCCUUGUACAGUGGGGAUAGGUUCCAAGAACUCCAGUAGAUGUGUCAUUAAUUUUUACACCAAACUGGGUUCUUCUUCCUGCUUGAAACUGUAGAACCAAUAAUAAGAUGGAGCACUGAUUGAUCAGUGAAGGACACUUAUUCGUGGCCAAUAGGAGAAGCAAGGGAGAAAGGCUCACACUUCAGCUUCUACCUAUUGCAGAGCAGAAGGAAUAAAAAAUAGGUAGAAGGGGAAAAUAAAUGAAGGCCAAGGAAACAAAACAUUUAAGUUCUGCAUACAUUUCCAGGCCUGUCAUUCCCUAAGCUAGUCUCUUUUCCAGGUCUGUUACUACCAACUUUAUGGAAAAUCUAAAAUCUAUCUAUGUACUAUACUAACUCCCAAAUGAAUAGAUUGAAAGAUAUAUUGAAAAACUUAUAAUUUAGAGUGUAAGAAUUUCCAAUGUGGGGAUUCUGGCUAUGGAAAUGCACAAGGGACUACUUUAUUUUCAGAGAUAUGAAAAAUUGUGCCCUAUAUGUGUAAUAAGAAUUGUAAUGCAAAAUAAACUAAUUUUUAAAAAUGUUCAAGGCAGCAUUCCUCUGGUGAGCAAACUCCCAGAGGGUAACAAGGUGCUCUGUUUUCCACAGCUGGAAUAUUCUACAGUUUCUCCAUGGAACUAGUAAGAUGACUAAUUCAUGUUCAAUGCUUAGCUGCUAUGGUAAUGUCCUUCAUGAGGAAGCUUUGUGCUAGAAUCUUAUCAGCCUCGACCUUAAUCUCAAUACUCAGCUUCUGGGAAUAAAAGACCACAUCAGCCUAAGGAUAAUCUUGAAAUAAUUAGAUGGAUAUCAUUCCCACAUACACAUGCCCUCAACAAGUUACCUUUAAAAGAGCCAGGAACUACAAAAAUCCAUCUUUCAUUUGAGACAGCCAUGAAUGUGAAUCUACUUUCCUAAAUAAACCUCUAUGCCUCCCA